rnacentral:lncRNA from 1 species
CCUGGUUCCAUCUCAUUACAGGAGUUACUGUAUGUACAGCUUCAGAAAGGAGCACUGGCAGAAGGUACACAUCCUACUUAUGGAGCACUACAAACACUUAACAAUACGUUGUACAAACCUGACGUAACAUUGAAAGGUUCACUGCAGGAAACAAUUAAAUACAGUCGCUAAGACAGACAGUAGAAGAGCACAGACUGAUGUUAUUUCAUCCCGAAUCCUCCGUGUUCCAGGCAGCCCAAACCACCCUCAAUCAGCCCCCACUGCCUUGGUGAGAAGCUGCUGCAUCCCAAAGGAUUGGGAUCGCUCUGCAUGGGCUGGAGGUCAGCGGCACAGAGGGGGACACCACCAAACCCUUUCUAUCCUAGUUUGACUUUCUGGCCAACGUGAAGAACUGAAUCAAAUCAAAGCAGUGAAGCAAUGCUGUGCUGCACCUCGCGUGCCUAUAGGCGGCGUCGCAGCUGAAGGCCCAGCUCGUUGAGCAGUGUACGUUUUUGCACGUGUGGGACAACAACAGAGAGAGCUCGAGACUGGCCAGGCUGGUGGUGGGUCCGUUCUGUGCCUGGAACUGUACGGGAGGUGGUCCAUCUGUCCACUGCAAGAUAACAAACAGCAUGAAAAUCCUCCAGCCACGACCUGGGAAGGGGAGGAGCAGCAGCAAGGCCAGAAAAAGGAGCUGCCCACACACACAUUGACUACCUUGAGAUCAUUUACUGAUUUCAUGACAAGCUGAGCAUCAGGUUUGACUCUGUGUCAUGUGCAUGGAGCAGGGGGAACUGUGACUUGCACAAAUGACAGACCUCAAUUUAGAUGCUUCUGUUUGAGCCCAUUCUACAGUGCAGCUACAGUGUUUCCAGAGUGAAUGAAGCCUCUGGUUCUCACCCGUUUCAUGUUUUCCUCUCAAAUUUAUCAAAAUCUCCUGAACUAGGCAGAUUUUGUAGUUUUUAAUCCUCUUCCACCUCCACAUUUUUAAUCUAGCAUGGAUUACACAUAAGCCAGCAAUGGCAAGCAAAGUCAGCAGAGCAUACAGCACAGGGGGAUGGGCUGUGGGCAUCACCAACGUGGGCUGCACAGCACAUGUGGGUCUCAGGAUCCCUCUGCAGCCAAAGCAAUCAGCUUCUUCCUGGCAGCCUUUUUUUUCCCCUCUCAUAAAGGGAACGUUGGGAAAAGAUGUCAGGUUUCCCUGCAUCCCACAUUCACAUUUGGACGUUAUUUCAGUCUGAAAGAAUGGCUUAUCUUUC